rnacentral:rRNA from 1 species
AUACGGAGGGUGCAAGCGUUACUCGGAAUCACUGGGCGUAAAGCGCGCGCAGGCGGUCUUUUAAGUUAGAUGUGAAAGCCUACGGCUCAACCGUAGAACUGCAUCCAAAACUAUUAGACUAGAGUGUGGGAGAGGAAGAUGGAAUUAGUUGUGUAGGGGUAAAAUCCGUAGAGAUAACUAGGAAUACCAAAAGCGAAGGCAAUCUUCUGGAACACUACUGACGCUGAGGCGCGAAAGCGUGGGGAGCAAACAGGAUUAGAUACCCUAGUAGUCC